UAUUGAUUUUGCCACAUGCCUUCACUGAAAAGCCGACCAGCUGGUGAACCCAUUGUGUUGGAUACGAUGUAUAAACUCGGUCGGAAAUGACAGGUUCGGAGAUUGCGGAUGGGACGGUGAAUGAUGGCACCUGGUGGGGCCGGGGGCGAUUUUUCAGCUGCAUUUUGGAGGUCGACGAGCGGGGGCUUCCAGGAACGUACUGGAAGGGUUGAAAAAGUUCUGGUUAACGUCAGAGGAGUCCAGCAAUGUAGAAAAUUUACUAACUUGGUAUCGAUGGGUAUAUUGGAUUACCCGAAUUAUCUCCAAUUAUUAUUUUUGAGACUUUAGUGAAAGUAAAUUAAAAACACAUAUGAUUUGUUUAUUUGCUCAACAAACACUAUGUAUUUUUUAAUUUGUUCAUCCAGGCUGUGUGGACGUCGAGUAAAUGAUUGUAUAA